rnacentral:lncRNA from 1 species
GGGAUAUAGAGAGGUAUAACCAUGCCUUGGGGGAUACAGGGAAUAACUUACCUGCAAGUCAGUAUUAGGAGGGUUUCAUAGUCUUCUUGGGUUGCUGUAACAAAAAUGUCAUUUAUUGGAUGACUUAAGCAACAAACAUUUAUUUCCCACAGUUCUGGAGGCUGGGAAGCCUAAGAUGCAGGUCCCAGCAGAGAGGUAGAAGAAGUGGAAUAUUUAUGUUGUAUAGUUUUAAAAGCGCUGUCACCUCCUCCCAUUAUACUCUCAUGAUUCUGUGAGAUUGAUAUCACUGUUACAUCAGUUUUAUAGUUUACAAAUCUGAGGCUUGGAGAGGCUAAUUAGCACAAACACAUUUAGCUGGUAAGCAACAGACUGGGAAUGAAGGAGGAGGAGCGAUUCAUUAUGACUAGCUAAAUUGGGAAAACUUUAUGAAGGAAAUGUAUGAAUUAGGGCUUUGAGGAGCAAGUCAGAUUUAAGCACAAGAAAGUAAAGGGACAGGUACUGUUGGUUAGAUCACCUGUGGGAACCCAAAGCAUGAGAAAGCUUGGCUCUUUUGGUUUGUGGCCAAUCAUCCACUGUGGGGGGACAGUAGGUACCCAGGCCAGUAUAAUUUGGCUGCUUAUAAAACUCUUUUGUGAUCGCAUUAUGAGGUCCUGGUUCUGUGGAUUGCAGGAAGGAGUGCAUUUCUUCUGGCUCGUAGGCAAGUGAAUGCCUGUCUCCCCCAAGUCAUGGGUCUUCCUUCUCUAUUCUUCCUCAGGGGAGGAAAUAAAUGCUGAUGUUGUGCAUGGCCAGGACAGCGAAGUGAUGAAGGAAGAGAACAGGUUGCCUGGGUUGGAUUUUCAUCUGUUCUUUCCUGUUGACCCCACUUGGACUGGAAAAGGGUGUGUCCUGCUGAUUGACCUGGAUCUGGCCAAUGGAACUAAAAAGAAACUCUCCUGAAGAACAUCUGAGAAAAGUUGAAUUGGUGUCCUAAUAUAAGGAUCAGAUAGAAGAGGAAGGUUUGUUGGUGUUAGCAAGAAUAGCAGCAACCAUUUUGCAAAUUUAAGGUCAAGUGUGAAAAACAAAGCCUUUGGCUGUUGUUAAAGAUGGUGGAGGAGAGAGAGAUGAAAAGAGAAUCAUGACAGAGUUGACUUGCUGACCUAGUCCUGAAAUAACCUCUUGGAUUUUUCCUGAAACCCAACACUGAGAUAAAAACACCACACACGCACGUGUACACACACACACACACACACACACGCGCAAGCACACACACACAGCAUGCUACUGCCACUGUUACAGGUUUUUUAUUUUUGUUUUGUUUCUUUGGCAAAGAAAAAAAGGCAUCGAUUCAUCCAGAGAAUCAUUCACCACAUUUUGAUAAAAUUAUUUUAACCUGGAAAGUUACUUUCAGAAGCAAAGGUGGUCUAACAGUAGCAACUUUAUUAACAUAAUGGCACAUCACUAAUCUCAUGAUGCUGCAAAAAUUAACACCCAUUACUAACUUUUAAAAAUGUGAGUAAAUUUAUAAUAAAAGUGUUAAGUUAGAAGAAUAAAAUUCUAGU